AACGCACAUUGCGCCCCUUGGCAUUCCGAGGGGCACGCCUGUUCGAGCGUCAUCGCACCCAUCACGCACCGCGUGGCGUUGGGGGCCCCCGUCGACCGCCCCGUCGGUCGACCCCCCCGCAACCCGUCGGCAGCGCCCUCGUCCGCGUCGUGGCACGCACGCAACGGCCCGGCGAGGGGCGCGCGCCCAUCCGCCCCCCACUGUUUGACCUCGGAUCAGGCGGGAAUACCCGCUGAACUUAA
rnacentral:misc_RNA from 1 species